AGCCUUAUAUUCAAUAAUGAUAUAAAAUUGCAAAUUUUAAGGAGUAAUAUAAAUACUAAGGCUU
rnacentral:tRNA from 6 species